UGUUAUUUCAAACUUAAAGAGGGUAGAUUUUGGUUGGAUAUAAGGAAAAAGUCUUUUACAUUGAGGAUGGUGAGGCACUGGAACUGGUUGUUCAGAGGUAUGCUAAAUGCCCUGUCCCAGGAGACACUCGAGGAGCUUGAAGCAUUUACAUUUCUCUAAGAAAUCCUCCUCUUUUAAAUGUGACUGGAAUUAGCCAGCAAGCUCCGAAAUUCUGCAGACAUGUUGAAGAAGGUUUAGAAACCAGAAUCAUCUACUCCUUCAGAUAAGAUUUAUUUAUUUCAGAAAAACAUGGCAUGAGCAGCCUUCACUUGUUUCACAGCCCACUCCUCAGGUUACGCACACUGUGAAUUACGCUAUUCUGAAAAGCAUGUGGGCAAAAGAAGUCCCCGCAUGUCCGCACCUGGCAUCUGAGAUUGAGGCGUAAAGAAAAAGAGGAUAAAAUUACAAAGGACUUCUGGUCUGGGAAAUUUUGGUCAGGCUUCUGAAACCUGAAACUGUUUGAAGACCUCUUAAAAGACAUUUAUUUCACAUUAAAAAUGUAUUCCAUAGAGAAAAAAGUUUUAUUUUAGGAACAGCCUGUCCUUUACAUAACAUUAAGCAGUAAGCAGUUGCAUUAAGUGACUUUUUCUCUUAGACAAAAACGCUAGCAAGAAGUCAUGCGAGCUCCUGCUUCAGAAGCCUCCACUGCUGGUCUCCACAUGUGCCCAUGAUAUAUUUUCCUUUCUGCCUGAAGCAAGCAAGCUAAUCCACAGCACAAAAGGAGAUGCAGAGUGUAAAAUUCGGCGUACUAAAACAUAAACAGACAACUGUGGGCUGCCAAGCUGUUUACAAAGGAUGUAUCUUCCCCAGAAGAAAAAAUCCACCUCAUUGGUGUCAGGUGUCCAGACAGAUGACAUCAGUGUCUCUGAUGCACUUGCGCCAUUAUAAAAAGUGUCAUGGUUGGUCAGGCAGAACCUGAUCUUGGUGAAGCCAUACUGG
ensembl:lncRNA